ensembl:snoRNA
UAGGCCCUGAAUCAAGACCUGUGGUUUGCUGUAGCUGUUCGUUUCAAACAGGAGCCAAGAGUGAUGUGUUUCUGUGGUCUGUUAGCCAUUCAGCAGCCCGGUGGGAAUGGCUUGUUCAAUUGGAAGAACACAGU